rnacentral:rRNA from 1 species
GAUGAACGCUAGCGGCAGGCCUAAUACAUGCAAGUCGAACGGGAUCCAGAUCAAAGCUUGCUUUGGUUUGGUGAGAGUGGCGCACGGGUGCGUAACGCGUGAGCAACCUACCCUUGUCAGGGGGAUAGCCCGGCGAAAGUCGGAUUAAUACCGCAUGACAUCAUUGAGAGGCAUCUUUCGAUGAUCAAAGAUUUAUCGGACAAGGAUGGGCUCGCGUGACAUUAGCUAGUUGGUAAGGUAACGGCUUACCAAGGCUACGAUGUCUAGGGGCUCUGAGAGGAGAAUCCCCCACACUGGUACUGAGACCCGGACCAGACUCCUACGGGAGGCAGCAGUAAGGAAUAUUGGUCAAUGGACGGAAGUCUGAACCAGCCAUGCCGCGUGCAGGAAGACGGCCCUAUGGGUUGUAAACUGCUUUUAUACGGGAACAAACGUCGGUACGGGUACCGGUCUGAGUGUACCGUAAGAAUAAGGAUCGGCUAACUCCGUG